UACGUAGGGGGCAAGCGUUAUCCGGAUUCACUGGGUGUAAAGGGAGCGUAGACGGCCAUGCAAGCCUGGAGUGAAAGCCCGGGGCCCAACCCCGGGACUGCUCUGGGAACUGCGUGGCUGGAGUGCAGGAGGGGCAGGCGGAAUUCCUGGUGUAGCGGUGAAAUGCGUAGAUAUCAGGAGGAACACCGGUGGCGAAGGCGGCCUGCUGGACUGCAACUGACGUUGAGGCCCGAAAGCGUGGGGAGCAAACAGG
rnacentral:rRNA from 1 species